GAUGAACGCUGGCGGCGUGCCUAAUACAUGCAAGUCGAGCGAACAGAUGAGGAGCUUGCUCCUCUGACGUUAGCGGCGGACGGGUGAGUAACACGUGGAUAACCUACCUAUAAGACUGGGAUAACUUCGGGAAACCGGAGCUAAUACCGGAUAAUAUAUUGAACCGCAUGGUUCAAUAGUGAAAGACGGUUUUGCUGUCACUUAUAGAUGGAUCCGCGCCGCAUUAGCUAGUUGGUAAGGUAACGGCUUACCAAGGCAACGAUGCGUAGCCGACCUGAGAGGGUGAUCGGCCACACUGGAACAGAGACACGGUCCAGACUCCUACGGGAGGCAGCAGUAGGGAAUCUUCCGCAAUGGGCGAAAGCCUGACGGAGCAACGCCGCGUGAGUGAUGAAGGUCUUCGGAUCGUAAAACUCUGUUAUUAGGGAAGAACAAAUGUGUAAGUAACUAUGCACGUCUUGACGGUACCUAAUCAGAAAGCCACGGCUAACUACG
rnacentral:rRNA from 1 species